AUACGUAGGUCCCGAGCGUUGCGCGGAGUCACUGGGCGUAAAGCGUCCGCAGCCGGUUUCGUAAGCGGGAUGUCAAAGUCCGCCGCUUAACGGCGGAACGGCAUCCUGAACUGCGAAACUUGAGGCACGUCCGGGCAGGCGGAAUUCCCGGGGUAGCGGUGAAAUGCGUAGAUCUCGGGAGGAACACCGAAGGGGAAGCCAGCCUGCUGGGACUGUCCUGACGGUCAGGGACGAAAGCCAGGGGAGCGAACCGGAUUAGAAACCCUAGUAGUCC
rnacentral:rRNA from 1 species